CGAAUGUAUAAGGUACAGCUGGACACAGCACAAUAUUUUCUAUGAAAUGCAAAAGGAGCUAUUAUCCAAUAAGAAAUACAUCUGGCUUUGGUGUAGCAGAGCUUUCCCAAAGGCAAAGAAUCGCUGUGAUAGUUAAACCUGAGACCAGAGGAUGGACGGGAUUCCUGCUGGAGCAUUAGAGCUUGCAUGAGGAGCGGGAUCUUGGAAUUUAUCGUAUUAUCAGCAUUUCUAAACAUUAGAAAAUCGGAAGCAAUGGCCCACUGUAGAGAUGGAUCCACUCAUGCCAUUUCCUGCUCAGCUGGUGUCCAGAAUGGAUGGAGCCUCAAUCCAUCGAACUCACAAAAAUGGUUGCCCUAGAACCAUUUUAUGGAGGAAAAAAUCACCUGUGACUACUACUGCAGGCAUUUGAAUGGAUCACGCCUUUCAGUGGAGAUGAGACAUCUCUCUUGUUUAUGAAAGCCAGGGAGAAAUGGAGACUGGGAGCUUGAAAGUGCUCCAUCUUGGGAUGACCUGAGGUCUUGAAUACAGCUGCAACUGGAAGCAAGUUUGGAGAUGCAAAAACAGCUUCUGAGGAAGAGAAUGCUUGAGACUGAUGCACUGAAGAAAGAACAAGAAGUCAGAAGCCAGAGAUAUGAGCUCAGGAGUACAUCAGAAAAUGACUGUUAGAUGGAAAUGUAAUGGAGAGCUGUGAAUUUCAGUGAAAAUACUGAAGGGAAGAAGACGACAAAUUUCAAAAGAGCAAAUAGACAAAUGCCAAAAACAAGAACAAAACCAAAAAGCAUGGUGGGAAAUACGCAUACUAGAAAAGAAAAAUGUAUGUUCAAAUCAAUGCUAUUCAGAGUAAGCAAUUGGGGGAAUAGAGUCUGUGCAGAAUGUAUCAAGAAUUGGUUAUAUGUCUUCAAAGGAGAAUUUGAAUUCUGUCUUUGAUGUCUGGAUGAUCAUGAACUGUCCAAGUGAGCCUCAGGAACGUGUCAGGGAGAUUUGACAGUCCAAGAAUUGAACAACUAUUCCCAUUUCUGCUUUUUUAUUGAGAUAGAAAUAAGCAAGUAUCAAGUGUGGGAACUAUAAAAGAACUAUUAAAUAAUAAUGAGAUGAGGAAUACGGUACUUGUUCCCUCUUUACAUCCAAAAUAAAAAAAUAAGUCUCCCUGUUGGAUGGCAGACUUGUGCCUGCAGACUGCAACGACGAAGAGGAACAGGUGUAGUUAAAAUAAAAAUAACUAUCAGAAUAACAGUUCUGGUCCUUUGUAGUCCAGCUGGAAACCACUCUGAUUUGAAAACUGGACACUUAACAAUGGCAAAAUACUCUAACUUGACAACUCACAGGCUCUAUAGGUGAAGCAGCUAUGGAGUUACAAUACUCAAUAAAAGUAACAGUUGGACAGAUAUUGAGUCAAUAAAAUGACGGCAGCCAGGCAUACAAUAUAAUACUGUACAGAUGUAGGUGUAUUCCUCUAAACAGUUUGUACUCUGUUUCAACAAUAAAAAUGUGUGAUGUUUCCAGUACCCACCACCAGCCAGAUGAGAGAAGAAAUUAUCCAGAUGUUUUCAAUAUAAAACACACCAUCCUAAAAUCAAUUGAUAUUUCAUACUCUUUGUAUUCUUCUUUCCUGCAGAUGCAGGAAGUAUUAAUGGUGACAUGAUUGUAUGUUACCGUAGUUUAACAAAAUGGUCAGGAAGACGAGCUAUGUUAGCAACAUUAUUCGGACAUUUAAUAGCAUUUAUCCUUUUAACUUCAUUAUAGUGGAAUGCCCCAAGGCCCAAAGAGAGUUAUUUUUAACAUGACUUCAGACAGAAAGGAGUAACUUUUCAUACGGACACACAGUGGUCUCUUUACAGAGAUAUAUUACUAAGGCUCCAGGGUACAACAAUAAGGGGCUGCCACUUCUGUCUCCCCUCUGCCUCCACUUUUUCCUGCAAUCACUCCAUGUGGUCAGUACUCUCCGGUUUCUCCCUAAGGUCAGAAAUAAAAGUCCCUGACCCUGAGGCCUUCACAGCUGUUACCACUCUCCAGAUGUCAGCACUGGCCUGUCCCCUGUCCCCCCUUCCUCUUCCAAAAAAAAAAAAAAAAACCCAAAAAACCCAAAUUGAUUUAAUCUUACAUCUUUUCCAUGUUCCCCUUCAGAAAGCUGUGCGAACUACUUCAAGAUACCAAGCAUAUGUGUUUGUAUAUGUGCAUGUGAGUGUCCCUGAAAACAUUUUUUUUUUUUUUUUUUUUAAAUCUUUUUUGCCAGUGAGGAUCCUCCUUCUUAUCCCAAAAGGAGAAGAGAGGGGACAAAAAGGAAGGAGAGACCUUCUCCCCUGUUGCACACAGCAGGGCCAUGGGAUGCCGCUGGAUGCUGGUGAUUCCAUUUAUGCCAUCUGGCACAGUGCCCCACAUUACCCUCAGGUAACCAGCCCCACUGUCACCAUUCCUCACUUGCUACUCCAGAACAAGUUCCUGAUAAUGUUUAAGCAUGUUUAUAGACUUGACUCCAUAAUGCCCUGUUCUAGCUUUGUUUCUCUUUUCCUCUUUAAUCGUUUCAUUUGCUAUAUUGUUUGCCUUCUGACUCUACACUUUGCCACUGAGUUUUCAGCCUUUCAGCCUAGAGUUCCUAUUCUACUCUUUUCCUUCACUCAACUAUUCCAUUGCCUCAGAUAUAUUUUUCUUUUGUCUCCCCCUUCACUUCUUUUCCCUAAGAUUUACAAGCCCAUCUGUAGUCUUUGUUCAGUUAUCUGGUGUUGAGCAAGACUGAUGAUGUUUCAUUAAUCAUAUCCACUGGUCCUAGCAGUUACUCUUGCUAUUGCAUCCUUUCCUAUCUCUUAAUUUUUUCCUCUUGAAACAUGAAUACCAUUACUUGUACUUUACACUUUUUUUUACCUCUUGAGUGAGGCAAGGAAACAUGCUUCUCUGCUCCCAGAAAUGCCUCUCUCCUUUGUAGUAAUAUUCACUUUUUCUAGACUCUCUACAAUUGUUAUUUUUGUAGUGCUAAGAGGGAAAAGCAGAGCCUAUCUCAGUACUGUCAUUCAUGGAUACUUUUCUUGAUUGUCCUUUCUUUCAAGGAUCUGUACUAAGAUAUCCACUGUACUUGCAAAGAACUGACAUUCCUGUCUCAUCCCAUUCUAUUGCAGAAUUAUGGAAUUAUCAACUACUUCACAGAUUAUACAGUGCUAAGUUUGUAAUUCUCAUCAUUUCUCAUUUCUUCUAAAUCUGCACAAUUAUUUGUAAUAAAAAUCAACCUUGACACUGCAAGGUAGUCACCAUAUGUAUUCAUAUUAAAUUCGCAUUUCAGUUAUUGGAAGACAUGCCUGCCAGCUGAUCUUAAUGCAAUAAUUUAUCACUUUUUAUUAUAAUAAUACCUCAGGAUUCUUACAAAAGUCACUGUGCUGAACUGAUGAGCUAGGGAAGGAAGAAAUGGCCAGAAGUCCAGAAUGCCAACCUCCUCUGUAAAUUAGGACUGAUCUUUUUCACAUUGCUAAACUGACUGCUGCACUAGCCAUGUGGCUGAGUGACGACAGAACUUGUUCAAGUAGGCAAAUAUUCAGUCAGUUCUGUAUUAUAUGAGCUAGAAAGACAUUACAAAGACAUUGAGUGCAUCUACAAGGCUCUAUCAUUCUCUGUCUUAACUUUACCUACUAUGAUCUCUACCUUCUUCCCAGCUCUCUCUAGAAGCUGAACAUUUCAAAGUCUUCCAUGUAGCCUGUUUAGCAGGCUUUCUCACACAUAGUUCUGGCUACAUAAAAAUAUGUGUUAAUUACUAACAAGCGUGUCAGUAUAACCAUUACACAAGAAAACAUAAAAAUGGUAAAACAAACAAACAAAAAAAAAAACCAUCCAGAUUUUCAAUUUAGUCUAUUUCAAGAAUAGAAAUAUUAUUCAAAAUUUACCUACUACAAAACAUUACUUCAUAUUAAUAUCAAUGAAUCAUUCUAAAAUAAAAAUAUAAUUAUAUAAGAACAGUGGAUCAUUCAGUUAGACUACAUGCAAUAAUAAACAACAAAGACCACAAAUAUGGUGGGACUAACUUGCCAAGUUGGCAGAAUAUUAUAUGUAAGCAUCCAAAAAGUGAAAGUGAUGUUUUCCGCUCUCUUUCCAUCUUCUGUUCUAACUGGGUGGUCCCAUAUCAUGACCCUGACAGCCUACACUGCUCAUUUGGGUAAGAGCAGGCAUGUCCGACUCGCAGCCAGCAUGCAGCCUGGCACAGCUGGCAAGGUCGCCUGGCCUCUGUCCUGUGAAACCUGUCCUCCACUGCUGCUGCAGCUCUGUCCCACUGCAUGGCCUGGCCCAGACACAGGAGUGCACCCAUCACUCAGCAACAACAAAACACCAGUGACCUAUUAAAACUGUCUGAGCUGAGACCAGGACAUGGGGAGGGCACAGUGCAGUGCUGACUCAAAUUAUAACAAAUAAUUGUAUGCAUUUUGGUUAGCUGGCUAAACACGGUCUUGUGAACAGCAAAAAAGUAUGCAGCCCUGCUUUCUGUUUUGAUAAAGGAACUUGAGAACAGGUUUUAAGAUAGCAAAAAAAAAAACCCCAUAUUUUUUAAUGUAUUUGUAACUCCAUUUUCAGACUACCUAAAUACAUUACCUCUGACUUUUCACAUGGAGUGUAUAAAGUUGCAAUCAGACAUUCAACUCAAAAAUCUGACCAUGUUGCUUUAUUUUUAUGAGACCUAUCCUGUCAGAUAAAACCAUCCCUCUCUUCACAAUAGCACCAUACUCAUGUCAUUGCUUUUUGGCAGUAUGUAUAUUUGUGAACAACUAUUUCCAAGGAUGAAAUACAGGAAGAAUAAUACUUCACCAAAAAAUCUGUGAUGAACACCUUGAGAACUCACCAAGAAUAGCAGUCACUACCAUCAAACCAGACUGAUGCAUUAAUUUAAAAAUCAGUGCCACAUAUCC
rnacentral:lncRNA from 1 species